UCUCGGCUGAAUGCUGGCGUGGACCACGAAGCUCAGGCUGUCCUGCUCUGUUGCCUCUCUGAUGACCACAUAUUCAAGGUAUGAUAUACAGUAGAUCAGUGAAUAAAUAAGUAAAAAAAUAAAACUAUUUUCCACGGGGGAGUGCUGGGGAUGAGUUCAGCAGUCUCUUAGCCUGAGGGAAGAAGCUGCUCUGCUGUGUGGUGGCCCGGCUGCCAGACAGCAGCAGGGUGAACAGGCUGUGGCAGGGGUGGGGAUUGUCUUUCAGUGUCCUUUGGGCUCUGCGCAGGCACCUCACCUCCCCGAUGCCCGCUGCAGAGCCCUCCCGUCCUGGGUCGUGCACAUCCCAUGCCAGUUUGUGAUGUUUCCAGUCAGGAUGCUUUCUAUUGCUCCUCUGUAAAAGUUAACAGGAAUUUUGCCUUCUUACAGCCGUUUCUGAGCUUUCUUUACCAGCGUGGAGGUGUGAGAUGACCACGUCGCAAUCUCUGUGAUGCUGAUUCCCAGCAACCUAAAACUGUUCACCCGCUCCACCUCAGCUCCACUGAUGUCGACAAUCAAAAAAUCAACAAUCAGCUCCUUGGUUUUUGCUGCUGACGCAGAGCAGUAGGUUGUUCUCUGCAAGAUUGUUGAUUUCCUCCCGAUAUGAUGGUACUCAAGCCCAGAGUGUUAAGUUUGCCCCGCAUAUGUAUAAUUUUGCCAUCUUGUUCUCACUGUUUAUAGUGUUGUUUGAAUACAUUACUGUUACUAUGUUUACUAUUCUACUACAUCAGUAAAACCCCACACUAUUCUACAGUCUUUAUGUCUCAGUUAAACAGCCUUACGACCACUGAAGCGCGACUCCGUCUUUGCCCGAGCCGGGGAUCGAACCGCUCACCUUCCGCAGCGUCUCAUCGGACAGUCGACUGCGGAGCUGAUGCAGAAGAGUUGAGGCAUUUACUGCAGUACUCUGCUGAUGUUCAUUUUCUCUGUUUGGAUGGAACAUCCUACAUUCCCCUAAUGGGACCCUCCUCCUCCAGCCCUCACCUGGCGCCCCAACCUGUAUGUGUCUGAGGACCCCAAAAAAUGUGGACCCUGAGGCGUGCAGGAAAGAUUGUGGCUGACCCCUCCCACCCCGGACACAAACUGUUUGAGACACUCCCCUCCCGCAGUAGGCUACCAGCCAUUACGACCAAAACGUCACAUCACAAGCACAGUUUAUUCCCGACUGUAGCUGGCUUCAUCAACAAGGCCCAGGGCCCCUACUGUCACUAACGUCUCCACAUCUGUCUCAAUGCUCAAUACAUCUUUUGGAGUAUUAUCUUUGCACAUUGCACAUAUUCUUUAUAGUUUAUACUUCAUACUGUGAAAUUUUGCACAUUCCUGCACAAAACAAUUUGAGGUGACAAACUGGGACGCACUCUGUGAGCCUCAUGGAGA